AUACUUACCUGGCAGGGGAGAUACCAUGAUCACGAAGGUGGUUUUCCCAGGGCGAGGCUUAUCCAUUGCACUCCGGAUGUGCUGACCCCUGCGAUUUCCCCAAAUGUGGGAAACUCGACUGCAUAAUUUGUGGUAGUGGGGGACUGCGUCCGCGCUUUCCCCUG
rnacentral:snRNA from 10 species